rnacentral:rRNA from 1 species
CCUACGGGGGGCUGCAGUGGGGAAUAUUGGACAAUGGGGGGAACCCUGAUCCAGCCAUGCCGCGUGUGUGAAGAAGGCCCUCGGGUUGUAAAGCACUUUCAGUGAGGAAGAACGCCUGGUGGUUAAUACCCAUCAGGAAAGACAUCACUCACAGAAGAAGCACCGGCUAACUCCGUGCCAGCAGCCGCGGUAAUACGGCGGGUGCGAGCGUUAAUCGGAAUUACUGGGCGUAAAGCGCGCGUAGGUGGCUUGAUAAGCCGGUUGUGAAAGCCCCGGGCUCAACCUGGGAACGGCAUCCGGAACUGUCAAGCUAGAGUGCAGGAGAGGAAGGUAGAAUUCCCGGUGUAGCGGUGAAAUGCGUAGAGAUCGGGAGGAAUACCAGUGGCGAAGGCGGCCUUCUGGACUGACACUGACACUGAGGUGCGAAAGCGUGGGUAGCAAACAGGAUUAGAUACCCCAGUAGUC